GAAAUUCAAUUAUUAAAUAGCUAAAUUGUUACUACCUGUAAUUACACCUUCAAAACACCACCACCAAAAUAAUCAAGAAUAAAAAAACCGGGAACGCGGCGCCUUCCGUCGACCUCGUCUCCAUCUUCUUUAUUUUCCUAGUUUCAUUACGAAAAUCCCCUAGUAUUCGGCAUCUGCGCAAAACGGUUGAUUGGUUAUAUACAGAGCAUAUCAUAUUUUUGUUUCCGAUGUAAAGGUGUGUUGCCUAACCAUAAGGGUGAAUUAUGACACCAUAUUCUCUAAUGCUUUGUUGUUGUCCAUUUAAAAGGAAACGUAUGUACGUAGGUAUUUGGAAGCACUGGAACUACUGUGGCCGUUGAAGUAAAGCAUAAAUCCAACAACUACGAUGAUAUAUUUAUAUAUCGAACGCGUUUCAAAAGCAAAGCUGCCAUCAUCAUCGAAAUACAAGAAAAAAAGCAAUACAUUAUGCGACAUAUAGAAUUCAUAUCCGUAGAUGGCUUAAAGAAAUUCAGAAAAUGUCCAGUUGCAACCUUUCUUUUAAGUCCGACGUUUACAUAUAAAGGGGGUUGACCCUCCGUCCCGUGCUACUUUGGAAUAAAAUGUUGACCUUUCGAAAUCAACAAUUUUUUUAGCAAAAAUUUUUUUACCGAUCCACGGAUAGCCCUUACGUAACAUCAGUUCUCUUUACAUUUGUUAUUUCACCUUUUCUAUUUUUCUAAGUUGCUUGCUCGCAAGUUUAUACAAAAAAUGACUAACGUUAUGGAUAUAUUCCGUGGCUCACUAACGAAUGCCUCCACAACUACUCCAGACUAACUCCUACCUAUUCUUUUUAACCAAUUAACGCCUACAAAAUAACUUCUUAUUAACCACAAAUGGCCAUUUUUACUCAUUGAUUCGUUCCUGCCCUACGAAUUAAAUUUUUCCCACAAUAUAGAUAUGACCGAAUCCUUACGCUACGGUUUGGAACAGAUAAAACCAAUUAAAAUAACUACUUGUUACCCCAACAUUGGGUCCCCAGACUUCCUAAAGCUAUUAUGAAAACUUUACUCUAUAGAAUUUAAAUACGCAGAACAAAAUUUUCAGUUUAAAAAAAAAAUUGAAAUUAGCAGGCCUAUACUUCGACUACCCCGCUCACUCUCUGUUAACAAACCUACAAUAAUGCGCACCCCUACAUAAUUGCCGACAUGACUGCUUUCAAAGAAAUUCGAGAAAAUGAAAUCCAAAUUAGGAGCUACCGUUACACAGGGUUGCCAGAUCUUGAUAAUUGACAAAAGGCGGGAUUAUGCUAGCCCAGCGGUAGGUACGUUAGAAUUGUUUGACUGACUCAUACUUACCUACAUAAGACGCGUAAACGCUUACAGAUAACGCUAAUAUAGAAGUAUGGGGGCUCAUUAUAACUUACCUAGUUAAUUGGCGCACAUACCGCAUGUAGCCAUAAAGAGAGACCCACUUAAAAAUGAGAGCAAUAAUUGUCUUUUUUGCUCUAAUCGUAAUAGCGAAUGCUGCAAUCAAUAUGACGGAUAUAGUGAAUAUAUACAAAGGUCAGCGGAAAAUGAUGCAAGCGUUUCGUAAGAGACAAUUCUUGACAGCAUUAAUAACAUACAUCGAUAUGAGGUAUAAGUACGAUCCUACAAAAAAUUUGAGUCCAACACAACUGUUAGCUUUAUUUCUAAAGCAGAUUUUGAUCGACUCAAGAAAGGUUUUAGAAAGAGUCUCUUCCCUACGCAACACGCUCAAAAGUACUCAGUCGUCAGUGUAAUAACUCAAUGUAUAUUUGUGACUUAAUAAAGAAUUUUGAAUAUU